UACGUAGGGGGCAAGCGUUGUCCGGAAUCAUUGGGCGUAAAGAGCGCGUAGGCGGCCCUGUAAGUCCGCUGUGAAAGUCAAGGGCUCAACCCUUGGAUGCCGGUGGAUACUGCAGGGCUAGAGUACAGAAGGGGCAACUGGAAUUCUCGGUGUAGCGGUGAAAUGCGUAGAUAUCGAGAGGAACACCUGCGGCGAAGGCGGGUUGCUGGGCUGAUACUGACGCUGAGGCGCGAAAGCCAGGGGAGCGAACGGG
rnacentral:rRNA from 1 species